GACGAACGCUGGCGGCGUGCUUAACACAUGCAAGUCGAACGGAAAGGCCCUGCUUUUGUGGGGUGCUCGAGUGGCGAACGGGUGAGUAACACGUGAGUAACCUGCCCUUGACUUUGGGAUAACUUCAGGAAACUGGGGCUAAUACCGGAUAGGAUCUCCUGCUGCAUGGUGGGGGUUGGAACGUUUCGGCGGUUGGGGAUGGACUCGCGGGUUAUCAGCUUGUUGGUGGGGUAGUGGCUUACCAAGGCUUUGACGGGUAGCCGGCCUGAGAGGGUGACCGGCAAAAUUGGGACUGAGAUACGGCCCAGAGUCCAACGGGAGGCAGAAGUGGGGAAUAUUGCACAAUGGGAGGAAGCCUGAUGCAGCAACGCCGCGUGCGGGAUGACGGCCUUCGGGUUGUAAACCGAUUUCGCAUGUGACGAAGAGUGAGUGACGGUAAUGGGUAAAGAAGCACCGGCUAACUACGUG
rnacentral:rRNA from 1 species